GAUGAAGAACGUAGCGAAAUGCGAUAAGUAGUGUGAAUUGCAGAAUUCAGUGAAUCAUCGAAUCUUUGAACGCACAUUGCGCCCCUUGGUAUCCCGAGGGGCAUGCCUGUUCGAGCGUCAUUUCACCACUCAAGCCUGGCUUGGUGUUGGGCGACGUCCCCUUUAGGGACGCGCCUCGAAACGCUCGGCGGCGCGGCACCGGCUUUAAGCGUAGCAGAAUCUUUCGCUUUGGAAGUCGGGGCCCCGCCUGCUGGAAUACCUACUUGUAAGGUUGACCUCGGAUCAGGCAGGGAUACCCGCUGAACUUAAGCAUAUCAAUAAGCGGAGGA
rnacentral:misc_RNA from 1 species